rnacentral:rRNA from 2 species
ACUUAGCGGCGGACGGGUGAGUAACACGUGGGCAACCUGCCCUUGAGACGGGGAUAACUCCGGGAAACCGGAGCUAAUACCGGAUAACACAUAUCUUCGCAUGAGGAUAUGUUAGAAGGUGGCUUUUAGCUACCACUCAAGGAUGGGCCCGCGGCGCAUUAGCUAGUUGGUGAGGUAACGGCUCACCAAGGCGACGAUGCGUAGCCGACCUGAGAGGGUGAUCGGCCACACUGGGACUGAGACACGGCCCAGACUCCUACGGGAGGCAGCAGUAGGGAAUCUUCCGCAAUGGACGAAAGUCUGACGGAGCAACGCCGCGUGAGUGAUGAAGGUUUUCGGAUCGUAAAGCUCUGUUGUUAGGGAAGAACAAGUACCUGUUAAAUAAGCAGGUACCUUGACGGUACCUAACCAGAAAGCCACGGCUAACUACGUGCCAGCAGCCGCGGUAAUACGUAGGUGGCAAGCGUUGUCCGGAAUUAUUGGGCGUAAAGCGCGCGCAGGCGGUUCCUUAAGUCUGAUGUGAAAGCCCACGGCUCAACCGUGGAGGGUCAUUGGAAACUGGGGAACUUGAGUGCAGAAGAGGAGAGCGGAAUUCCACGUGUAGCGGUGAAAUGCGUAGAGAUGUGGAGGAACACCAGUGGCGAAGGCGGCUCUCUGGUCUGUAACUGACGCUGAGGCGCGAAAGCGUGGGGAGCGAACAGGAUUAGAUACCCUGGUAGUCCACGCCGUAAACGAUGAGUGCUAAGUGUUAGAGGGUUUCCGCCCUUUAGUGCUGCAGCAAACGCAUUAAGCACUCCGCCU